ACUGGGAGUGCUGCCACCUCGUGGUGCAAGAGUUCUGAGGGACGGCAAUUCUGAAGACAUUGAAUGGUGGGUGCUGGGCCUCAUGGCUGUUCCCCAGCCCCUCUCAUUGGCUCUGCUCCAGGUGGAGAAGGGGGAUGAUGUCUCUGUCAGUUCUGCUGUUUUAGCCUAGAAGGAAAAGAAGCAGAGCCCAGAAGCAGGGCCUGGUACCCAGCCUGCCUAACAAGGGAGAAUUUGUAGGCUUUGUGGACAGAAAGAUCUGGGACUCCAUGUCACCCACUAACUUGCUGAGACAUUAGUAAAAUCAGUUUUCUUUUCUGAACUAUGUUUCUGUCAUCUGUACAUUGAGAGGAAUUUCUUUUACUCCACGAGGCUGCUUGGAGAAUUAGUGACAGUGUGUGUAGAGCAUGUGCCACCCAGCAGGCAUUUGGUGUCGAGACCACACCUCCUCCCCCUUCAUUUUCAGCCUAAAUUUGCAUUUUGUUCUUAAGACUUUCACUCGCCUUAAUUUUACUCUUUCCUCUGAUUCCCACCUUAUCGUCUAUCCCAUGGAGUCACUAGGAUCUAAGUGGGUAACAGUCAUGUAUGCAUGUAUGUGUAUGUACGUAUAUACUUUGUUGGUGUUGGAGUGUGGUGUGUGAAUGUGUGUGUGUGUGUGUGUUGGAGUUACUGGGUGACUGAAACUGUACACAUCAGGCUGUGGUUCUGCCCAUUGCUGGAAGCGCUGUCAGGGGUCCUGCCCUCAACCCCAGGUCUGACCCUUGCAGCGCAGGCAGGACAUUCUGGAGGAAUCAUGCCCUUGGGAGGAUCCCUGAGGAGUGACUGGUGGGUAUUGGUGGAUAAAUACCCCUGGUCCCUUGCUCUGGGUAUGAUGACUCUGAAGCACAUGUUCUGUGCUGUCUCUCAGAGGUACCUGGCAGGGCUGAGUCCUGGCUGCCACAGUGGAAACUUUCUUGAUGAAGGUCCCUUUAACUGCUGCAUUCCUUUCCUGUCUCAGUUCCCCACUCCUCCACUGAUGUUUCCUGGGAUUAGCACCCUAAGGAAGAACUGGCAGUCGAAUUAAUAUCCUAGCGUUAUCUCCAAACAAAAUUUUUGUAUUUGAAUCUUUGCCUCAGGAUCUACUUCCAGGAAAUUCAGACUAAGACACACAUUUUUCUUUUGGCUCCUUGAAUCCCCAUAGGCCUGACAUUUUGCUGUUUUUAUCAAAAAGGAACAUGAGGAUCAGAGAGGGAAAGUCACUUGCCCAAAGUCACCCAGCUGAACAGUGGUAGAGUUCAACUUUGAUCAUGAGAUGUCUGGCCCCCAGGUGGAGGCUUGCUCCUCUCCCAUGAGACUCCUUCCUUAUCAGGGUCAAAUGAAUGAAUGGAGGAUGUUAAAAGUGGGGUCUCUGAUGCCUUUGCCAGAUAAACCCCAGGCUCAUGGCUGGCGCCUGUUUUCUCAUUCUUACCUCAUUAAGAGUAGUAAUGAAAAACAUGCUCAGUGCUGACCGUGUGCCUGGGGGUGUUGUAGGCACUCCACUUACUUUAAUUCAUUUAAUUUUCACAAUAACCUUGUUUUUACUUCUAGUUGUUAUAUGAAAAAACUGAGGCAAAGAGCAAUACAGAGAGUUGCAAAAAUUCAUACCGCUGGUCCAGGUUUGAACCAAACAGUCUGCACCUGGAGUCCUUGUUUGUAACCAUGGCACCCUGUCUUCACACAUAUCUCAUCGUGGAGUUCCAUCUUGUGUUAGGCAUGGCACUGAGCAGCUUCUUUUAAGAACAUAAUUUGUAGCCAGGCGCAGUGGCUUAUGCCUGUAAUCCCAGCACUUUGGGAGGCCGAGGCGGGCAGAUCACGAGGUCAGGAGAUCCAGACCAUCCUGGCUAACUUGGUGAAACCCCGUCUCUAAUAAAAACACAAAAAAUUAGCUGGGCAUGAUGAUUGGCGCCUAUAGUCCCAGCUACUUGGGAGGCUGAGGCAGGAGACUGGCAUGAACCCGGGAGGUGGAACUUGCAGUGAGCCGAGAUGGCGCGACUGCACUCCAGCCUGGGCGAGAGAGCAAGACUCCAUCUAAAAAAAAAGAAAAAAACAUGAUUUGUAAUUAUGUAAAUUACUAAUUCUACUUCAAAGUGCCACACAGCCUUCAUGUGAUAAAAUGAAGCAAUUGGUAAGUCUAAGCAUUGAGAAAAAACAUUAUUUUUCCCAGCUCCAUUGCAACAGUUGGGACAGUGUUUUCUCUGUGCCUAUAGAAACCUCAGCUAGUGUGCCGAGGAGUCUGGUCCCUUUGGGGAAUGUGGCAGUCAGGUUCUGGCAGGGACCUCGAAGUGGCUGGUAAUGUCUUUCAUUACCACCACCACGUGACCUGGUCUUACGACCUGUUAGCUUCCUUCAUCAGGCAUGAGCACCAGGAUGGCAGGGGCCUCAUCUGUCCUGUUCCUCCUGUGGCCUGGGUCCUAGCACCAUGUCUGGUACAGUGUAGGUGCUCAAGGGAAGUUUACUUUAUAGAACUGUCUACCUGGGAGAUGUUGCUGUUAGUCUAACCUGUACCAUUUUGUAAACCUGCAGCCGUUUUGCACACCCUGGUCAGAAUGAAACAUUCCUUGGGAACUCGGGCCGUGAGAAGCAUCCUUCCUGAUCACCUGACUGUAGAAACAUCCUUAUCGCACCCUCCCGGGCAAAGGCCCAACAGCCUGACUGCAGGAACAUCCUUGCCAUAUCCUGCCGGGCAGCAAGCUCUACCGCCCACACCCCUCCUUCCCAGUCCCAUGAUCACCCCAGCCUGUGAGAGGCAGUUGGUGCUGGCAGUAAGCUGGUUUCCUCCUCUGCAGGGUUUUGCUAGUAAUAAAGGUGUUGCUGUUGAAGCCGUC
rnacentral:lncRNA from 1 species